CAGUAGCCACGGUAAAACGAAGGGUGCAAGCGUUAAUCGGAAUUACUGGGCGUAAAGCGUGCGUAGGCGGUGAGUUAAGUCUGCUGUGAAAUCCCCGGGCUCAACCUGGGAAUGGCAGUGGAUACUGGCUCGCUAGAGUGUGUCAGAGGAUGGUGGAAUUCCCGGUGUAGCGGUGAAAUGCGUAGAGAUCGGGAGGAACAUCAGUGGCGAAGGCGGCCAUCUGGGACAACACUGACGCUGAGGCACGAAAGCGUGGGGAGCAAACAGGAUUAGAUACCCGCGUAGUCCCUGUCUCUUAUAC
rnacentral:rRNA from 1 species